rnacentral:rRNA from 1 species
GACGAACGCUGGCGGCGUGCUUAACACAUGCAAGUCGAACGGAAAGGCCCUGCUUUUGUGGGGUGCUCGAGUGGCGAACGGGUGAGUAACACGUGAGUAACCUGCCCUUGACUUUGGGAUAACUUCAGGAAACUGGGGCUAAUAUCGGAUAGGAGCUCCUGCUGCAUGGUGGGGGUUGGAAAGUUUCGGCGGUUGGGGAUGGACUCGCGGCUUAUCAGCUUGUUGGUGGGGUAGUGGCUUACCAAGGCUUUGACGGGUAGCCGGCCUGAGAGGGUGACCGGCCACAUUGGGACUGAGAUACGGCGCAGACUCCUACGGGAGGCAGCAGGGGGGAAUAUUGCACAAUGGGCGGAAGCCUGAUGCAGCAACGCCGCGUGCGGGAUGACGGCCUUCGGGUUGUAAACCGCUUUCGCCUGUGACGAAGCGUGAGUGACGGUAAUGGGUAAAGAAGCACCGGCUAACUACGUG